CCAGCUGCUCGGCACAAAGCCUGCAAGGGCUGAGCCUUCCAGCGCCGGCGCAGCCCUGCGGCCCGCCGAGCGUCCCUUGUAUGCAGAGACCCUCACGCCGGGGAGCGGGACGGAGCCUCCGCGCCCGCUCCCAGCGAGGACGGGGACGGGACGGUGCAGCCGCCCCCGACUCUGCCGGGAGGAGACGCGCAGGGAGGCCGCGGGCACGUUUGCAGCGCGGUCGGCGCUUGGGAGCGUAAUGAGGCAGGCCCGGGCAGAUGGCAGCUCCGUGUGCAACCGCUUCGGCUGCUGAGAGCCAAGGGAGCAGCCCCCGGCAGCCCGCUCGGGCUGCACCGGGCAGCCGCGCAGCGUGGGGUGGUGCAUCAGGGCGGUGCCGAGGGCGAAGCCUCAGCAGGCUCUCAGCAAAGAGCAAAGUGGCAGCGCUCUGAGGGCCUCCUUUCCUUGCUGAGCUGGCUUCUUGGGCUUCCUAACAGAUGAGCUUCACGAUCCCAGGGCGGGAGACAGAUGUUGCUCAGCCUGGCGGCAGUGGUGGACUCAGCACAGCUUCCCUUGGCUGAGCUUCCAGGCUGGCAGAAGCUGGUGGCCCUGCUCUGGAGACAGCAUGGCAGCCUCUCUGGGUGAAGAAGAACCAAAACUCAGCCUGUCUGCCAAGUUAUGAAACCUUGUUUACAAAUGGUUUAAGUGUUUAUAAAAACCAUUUUGCAGCAGGCUCCACGGUGGCCACAGAACUUGAGUAACUGUGGCCAAACCCCUUUGUUAAAGAGCAGUUUUGGAAAGCUCUUGCUGGGGCUGGCAGCCUGUGUGGGCUGGGGACAGCCACAGCAGCUGAGCCAGCACCAGUGCUCCUGUGCCAGAGCUGUGGGGUGAGCCCAGGAGGAGCCUGCUGUUUCCACCCCUCCAGAAGAUGCCUUUUCCUUACCCAGCGUGGCAACCAGGUGCUGAUUCCCAGAGGUUGCAGCUAAACUGCUCUUAACAGUUUUCAUCCUUGCUGCAUCUCAGCCCUGGUACCCAGCUGCUGAGUCCCUGGUACCCAGCUGGUGACUCCUGCUCCUAGGAUGGCAGCAGAGAGCAGCCCUGCUGGCCUUACCCCAGGAACCAACCCUGACAGCAAGGGUUAGGAAGCCACUUUUUAAUAGAUAUUGACAGCUUUUCCCCUUCUUUUUACCUGCACUGCUGCCUGGGGACUGGGCUCUGCUCUGAACUUUGCAUUGGUGCUGGUGUGUUCAGGCUGCUGUUCCUCAGGAGGCACAAGCACAGACUGAAGGGCUCAGGUGUAGUUUGGGGGGUUGGGUGUGGUAGUUUGGGAGCUGUAGUGUGAUUUGGGGUCUUGGAUAUGGUUUGAGGUGCUUAGGUGUGGUUUGGAGGCUCAGCCACGGUUUGAGGGCUUAAGCAUGGUUUGGGGACUCAGGGGCAGUUGGGGAGCUCAGUUGUGGUUUGGGGGCUCAGGCAUGGUUUGAUAGAAUCACAGAGUCAUUACAGUUGAAGAAGCCUUCUAAGACCAUCAGGUCCAAUUGCCAACCCAGCACUACCAUGGCCAUCAAACCAUGUCCCAGGAGCCAUGUCCUCAUGUUUUUUGAUGGUGACUCCACCACCUCCCUGAGCAGCCUGUUCCAAUGCCUAAACACUCUUGCAGCAAAGAAAAAUUUCCUCAUGCCCAACCUAACCCUCCCCUGGCACAUUUUCAAGCCAUUUCCUUUCAUCCUACCACCUGAGUGGAGGGAGAAGAGACCAACCCCUACCUGGCUUCAGCCUCCUUUCAGGGAGCUGUAGAGAGCAAUGAGCUCUCCCCACAGCCUCUCCUCCCAGCUCCCUCAGCUGCUCCUCCCCAGCCCUGUUCUCCAGACCCUUGCCCAGCUUUGUUGCCCUUGUCUGGACCUGCCUCACCCUUCUAUGUCCUUCGAGGGAGAAGCCCAGAACUGAACCCAGUAUUUGAGGGGUGGCCUCACCAGUACAGGGGGAGAAUCACUCCUGCUGGCCACACCUUUGCUGAUCCAGGCCAGAAUGCUGGUGGCCUUCUUGGCCACCUGAGCACACUGCUGGCUGAUCUUCCACUGCUGUCAGCUAGCACCCCCAGGUCCUGUUCUGCUGGGCCACUCUUUUCCAAGCCAGGAGCAUGGCAUGGGGUUGUUGUGACCCAAGUGCAUGGCCUGGGGGCUCAGCCACAGUUCUGGGGCUCAGACAUCCCAUGCAGCACUUGAAGCGGGGCCUCUGCAGGGAAGGAGCAG